rnacentral:lncRNA from 1 species
CACAGCCCCACGAUAACCCUGAGCUCAGCGGGGCAGCGGCCGGGCCCGGGCGGGGCGGCCGGCAGGGAGAGGGUUCUCUGCGUUCGGGCACAGGGAACUCGCUCUGCCCGCGCACCGUGAAACACGCGGGGAAAAAACAAAACCAAAAGCCUCCUGACAUUAGAGAAAGUGUGCGAGCAGCGUUUCCGGUAGAGCAGCAGUACUCAGGGCUUUCUUGGAUGCGCUGUGAAGACAGAAGUGAAGCUGUGAAUCGAGGUUAAUUGAAAUGCUUACGUGAUGGUGAUGUGCCAGAUUCCCUGCUCCUCUAUCAUCCCAUCAAUUCCAACAGUUGGUCCCUGUAGGAGAGGGGACUCUUCACUAUUACAUUUUCAUCCUUUUCUAGUCAACUAAUUUAAAACUAAUAAAGUACUUUUUUCACUGGGCCUACUGCUAACU